ensembl:lncRNA
GGCAUGUCUGCUGUGUUGCAUGUCUAGACUAACUCAUGGUUUUUUGUUUUUUUUUCCUGUGUACAUUGGAGAUAUACUAGAAAACCCUCAGAAUUGCUUUGUUACCUGAAUUAAUGAUAACUGUUCACUUUAUAUGAGGUUCAGUUUUAACUAAUUGAAGAUCUUUUGUUUACUGUGGUUGGACUUUAAACCUUUUUUGGUCCCAAUUUUAGCAAGGAAAUUUGUUUUUAAACUACUUAAAUUUUUUUGUUUUUUAGCUCUUUUUAAUUGAAGUACACAGUACAGAAAAGUAGACAACUUACAGGUGUAUGGUUUGAAAUACCACAAAGUGACCACAUAUAACCAGCACCAGCAUCAAGAAAGACAACGUUACUGCUUCUAGAGGCUGCCUGAUUUCCUUGGUUCCUGGCCCCCUGUCCAUCUUCAAAGGCAACAGCGUUGCAUCUUCUAGUCUCUGCUCCCAGCACACCGCUUCACCCUGACCCUGCUGCUUCUGCAUAUCAGGAUCCAUGGGAUUAAAUCUGGCCCACUGGAUCCCCACCUCAUGCGAAGAGUUGACUCAUUGGAAAAGACUCUGAUGCUGGGAGGGAUUGGGGGCAGGAGGAGAAGGGGACGACAGAGGAUGAGAUGGCUGGAUGGCAUCGCUGACUCGAUAGUGGUGAAGAAGAGGACUACAGAUUCAGUUUGCUUCCACUGCCUUGCCUUGUGCUAGAGGGCUCCUGGUUUUACUCCAGCUGCAGUGCAAACCAGUAUUCACCAGUGAAAAAUGCAAGUGACCUCUUGGGAGGAGGAGAAUAGUCUGACCUCACGGAAUCCCUGUGAAGUUCUCAGGACCUCCAAGGCUCCUCUGAUCACUCUGAGAGCUGCUGUUACAACUCAGUAGCCAAACUAGUCAUUUGAUGUUGCCCCAUGUUGCCUUAGAAUUUCAAGCCAGGUUUUGGUUCAGAAAUCUGAGUUGACAUCGUGUAGGAUGUGACUCUCCAAGCAUUUUUUAUUAAGGUAUGUUCUGUCUUUACUGCUACAGCUUCACCGUCGUUACCCGGGUUGGGCUCCCACUCUGUUUUGUGUAUGUGUGCACGUUUCAGAUUCUGUGCACGUGGAAGUACUAUUAAGGAAGUACUAUUAAGU